AUUAGGUUGGAAAGCAUAGUUGGUAGAGCAUGAGACUCUUAAUCCCAGGGUUGUGGGUUUGAGCCCCGUCACUGGUGAUA